rnacentral:lncRNA from 1 species
AUUGCAAAGGGACGUUUAAAAGUAGUCAUUUUAGUUACUCUUUAGUGCUGGGUUUUGAAAGUUCAUAUGGAAGGAUUUUGAUGGAUAUAACAUACUUUUUUCUUCCCCCAAGAUCUUUCAGAUGUGGCUGAUGAAUCUGAGAAUGAGCUCAGCCUGGCAAAUGGUCCUCCUCUUACCAAGCCAAUUUAUUCAAAAGCAGGUCUCCAGUGUGCGUCUGAACUCCAAAAAGGCCUCUACCCAGUGGGUUCUAAUGAAAUCAAAUGGAAGCCAGAAACCAUCUGCACUGACCUGUUCUCAGAGUAUCCUGGAUUAGAGGAUUUAACGAAAAAACAAAUCCAUCCACUUAACAAGGGGAUACUGGUAUUUUCAAGGAGUUAGUUGUUGACACUGGAU